CAGGCCUCAGGGUCGGGUGGCGCGGGCCUCAAGGAGCGCCUUCUGCGUGUGGUUCGGGCCCUGAGCCUGCUGCAGUGGUUGCUGCGGCGGCUACGGCAGCCUCGAGCCCGGGAGCCUGGGGCGGAGCCUCGGGAGGGCGAGGGGCGGGGCCGCGGGCCUGGACGGAGGCGCCGUCUAGCGUUGCGCCUGGCGGGCUUAGCGGGGUUGAGAGCAUCGCCGAGGCCUCCACCUGGCGGUGGCAGGAGCCCUCCACACGGCCGGGAUAGCCCGGCCCCGGAGGACCCUUCCGACGAUGAGGACCCCACUCCGGAUCCCAAGUUCGCAGUCGUGUUCCCCAGGAUGCACACGGAGGGGAGGGCUUCGAGCAGCGGGAGCUCAGGGGAAGUGUCCGCGGACGCCCACACCGGGGAGGCUGCCGGGGAGAGUGAGAGGCACGUGGCGAGUGGAGAAGGAGCGGACGGGCCCCGCCCCGCCGUCUUGCUCGCGCAGACUCCCCCCGACUCGACUCCACUCGAGGAGAACGGCUCCAGCAGCGAAGCGGAGCCAGAGACCUUGGAAGCCGAGACCCCGGUGCACUGGGCGCGGGACUCAGGCCCCCACCAGGACCCUGGGUUGGGCACCAACGCGCUGCUGCCCCGACUCACCUUGGAGACCCGCCUGGAGCGCGACAGGAGCUCCUGCUGGUCCCUGAGGGAGCAGUGGGAGCCGGAGGAUGAGGCCGAGGCAGCGCUGGAGAGGGACCUGGAGAUGAGCCUUGGGCCUGACCUGAAGGCAUCCUUCCUGGGUACUGAGGGUAGGGGCCUCAGAGACGGCCUGGAAGACACUGAGGACCUGGCCCGGCUGGGGUGAGCAGCACAGUUCCAAAUCGGCCGUCCCUGCCUCGCGGUUUCUUAUAGGCCACCUACACUCUUCUUUAUAAACUGAAUAGACUUCUAUAGAAUCCUUAGAAAGAUUUGUUUUGCCCCACAAAAGGUUUUCUGACUAGAGGGGGCUGGUGAGGAGUGAAAGUCAG
rnacentral:lncRNA from 1 species